rnacentral:lncRNA from 1 species
UGUGCCCUUUAUUUCUUCACACGAGAAACUUUUUGCAUGAAUUUUUUCUCAUACCCAGAAGUAGUUCCAUAUCCACAUCUGAUCUCUUUUUGAAUUAAAAAUUAGUUGGUUUAAAUUUGAGUUCAAAUGAGUUUUUGAAUGAAAACCUAAAGUCCAAAUCGAGUUGGACUCUUCCCUUCGCGCCACCACCUUUCUUCAUGCAUAAAAUAUUUUUGCAUGAAAUGUUUUAUGCUAUUCUGAUGCUGGUUGCCUAUUAUCUAAGUUUCUAAGAUGAGGAUAAAAUUUGGUUCAAAGUUUAAUUCAAAUUUAAUUUAAAUUGGUGAUAAAGAUCAACCAAUGUUUAAACUUGAACCAAAACUACCUUAUUCUUAUCCUUAUCUUUCAUGGGAUGCCACCCUC